GACGAACGCUGGCGGCGUGCUUAACACAUGCAAGUCGAGCGGAAAGGCCCUGCUUUUGUGGGGUGCUCGAGUGGCGAACGGGUGAGUAACACGUGAGUAACCUGCCCUUGACUUUGGGAUAACUUCAGGGAACUGGGGCUAAUACCGGAUAGGAGCUCCUGCUGCAUGGUGGGGGUUGGAAAGUUUCGGCGGUUGGGGAUGGACUCGCGGCUUAUCAGCUUGUUGGUGGGGUAGUGGCUUACCAAGGCUUUGACGGGUAGCCGGCCUGAGAGGGUGACCGGCCACAUUGGGACUGAGAUACGGCCCAGACUCCUACGGGAGGCAGCAGUGGGGAAUAUUGCACAAUGGGCGGAAGCCUGAUGCAGCAACGCCGCGUGCGGGAUGACGGCCUUCGGGUUGUAAACCGCUUUCGCCUGUGACGAAGCGUGAGUGACGGUAAUGGGUAAAGAAGCACCGGCUAACUACGUG
rnacentral:rRNA from 1 species